UGCUCCUGUCUUGUGAUCAUACACGUAUAAAUCUUUCGCCUUUUACUAAAGAUUUCCGUGGCUGCGGGACAGAAAUGGAGCUAACCCCAAUUUUUUGUCAACACAAUUUCUUAUUUUCUUUAAGAAA
rnacentral:snRNA from 1 species